CCCGGUGGCUAUGGCGAGGGGUCCAAACCCGAUCCCAUCCCGAACUCGGUCGUUAAAACCCUCAGCGCCGAUGGUACUGCGUCGGAAGGACGUGGGAGAGUAGGUCGCCGCCGGGC
rnacentral:rRNA from 1 species